UUUUCUAGCAAACUUUUUCUUGUAAAAAAGUUUGCAAAUUUUAAACUCAAAAUUCAUGCCCGAAGGUUUCGUGAAAUCCAAAUUUCAAAUCUCCGGGUUCAAACACAAGAAAACCGUCGCCGCCAGAUGAACACGCAAUCUCACCUUUGUGAGGUACAAACUUGAGGGCGUGAGAGAAUAUUCAGAAGCGCGAGCCGCCCUUGGGGCCGUCUCCGAUGAACUCGUGACCCAGGCCGUUACCGCACUUUCCGCACAGCACCUGUGAGUGGGCGGACAGAGGUCGGCUCAGGUCAGAGGAAGGCCGCGGUGAUGAUUGGAACUACCGACACCACCGGACAGACAGACGGACGGAACAGACUCGGCCACCGGCGGAAGUACCAACUCGACAAGAAGCGCAUGCUUAUCAUUAAUCCACAUUCAAAUUCAUGCUGAAUAAACCGAGCGACAGCUAGUCAACAAGGUUGAUUACCUACCAAUUUAUCAAAACUGCGAUACUCGAAGUCACUAUUUAUUCAGAAGAUUUACAACUAAAUGUCCAUGCAAUAUAAUUUUCAUGAUCGUU
rnacentral:lncRNA from 1 species